rnacentral:lncRNA from 1 species
UGGGUAGCUGACAGGACAGGAAAAAGCCAGUGAAAUCUUUGAAUUUGUGUAGCACAAAACCAGUGACGUGUUGUAAACUGGUGAUAGGAAAAGCAAUUUAACACAAAAGCAAUUUUGACUGAAUUGGUCUUCCAGUGGUGCCUAUGGGAAGAGUCCCAGAGCAGGGCAUCAUGGGAGACGCUGUCUGGCACCAGUUCUCCUGGUCCACCUACCGGCUGUGAGGUUUAAACAUGGCGGCUCCUGUUUUCUUCCCCGCCCUAGUGCCAAACAGCAGUCCCACAGGCAUCCUUCCCGGAAAUGGUUAGGGUUAAUGGAACGAUUGUUACCACGAGGUGGGCUGCGGUUUACAAGUGUAGUAUCCCAGAGGCUGUUGAUGUCCUUCUUUGCAGCCUGUCUAUAAUCCAAAUAAAUUGCACGACGGUGGAUGGCGCUGACGGGCUUCAACUUCUUUCUCCUACGGGUGAAUAACUAUGUUGAAGUAGCCAGAUUGUAUUUUUUGAUAUGAUGCAGUCAAAACCCAGAGAACCUGGGUGGAUCCUUGGCGUUCCCUUCUUAGAUGGACCCUGUCAACAAGAAAACAGGCUCUCAUCUAGAAGAAUGGGUCCAUGGGGUGCUGAGAAAGAUCAAGGAGAAAAACAACUAGGAAACAAAAUUCUCUUCAUCUUGGCAACCAUUCAUGACCACAGCUUGAAAGAUGACAUUCAGGACAAUGGUUUGGAGCUCCUGAAGUGCCAUCCUGUGGGUCUUUGCUGAAGUCUCCAGCUUUCGGGACCAGGCUGGCAUGAGACAAAUGGACUAAAUUUGCCAGCUCACCUAGUUGUCCUUGAGGCCGGAGUCAGGACAGAGGUCAUUCAAGCCUGCUGACCACGUGUCCACCUGUACUCCUGUGGUGAUGGCGGGUAUUGGAGCCAGCACCACCAUUGGCAAGAUGCAUCACCAUCUUUGUUCAUUCACUGGAACAUGUUUAAUGCCCACAAUGUACCCAGCUGAGUAGGAUCUGAGAGAAGCCUCCAUUUCUUCUCUCAGAGUCACAGGCAAGUGGGGAGCACAGACAAGUGGGCUUCAUAGUAUGGUGUGAUGAAGACCAGGCAGGGCACCAGAGAGGUGCAGGGGAAGGGCGCUCAGCCCAGCCCGGCCUAGGGAUGAUGCUCAAAUUAUGGCUUUUAGGACCAUUAUGAGUGGAACAGUGUUCCCUCCAAGAAAGAUAUGUGAGAAUCCUGAGCCCCAGUACCUCAGAAUGUGCCAUUAUUUGGAGUUAGGUUCUUUACAGGGAUGAUCAAGUUAAAAUGAAGUCAUUAAAGUGGGCUCCAACCUGAUAUGACUGGUGUCCUUAUAAAAAAGGGAAGGUGUGGGCACAGGAACAACCCCGCGCACAGGGGGAGUGCCAGGUGAUGAUUGGAGUUAUGCCACCACAAACCAGGGACCCACCAGAUUUGGCUAGGAGAGAGGCCCUCACACCUUCGGAGGGAGCAUAGCCCUGGAGAGCAUCUUGAUUUCAGACUUCUGGUCUCCAGAACUGAGACCAUACAUUUCUGUUGCUUUAAUACACCCAAUUUGAGGUAUGUUGUUAGGAAGUAGCUAGGAAAUGAAUACAAGGACUCAGGGGCUAUCCAGAUGGAGAAAGAGGGCCAGACACUCCCAACCCCGAUGUGGAGAUGGAGACCCUGGCGCACUUGUUGGUAUAACUGAAAAACUGGAACAGGCGGGGGGGCCACGGUAGUAGUUGAGGCUGAAGGGGCUGGAGAGGAGGGAGCCCCUUUCCUUCUGCUAUGGUUUAAAUGUUUGUGUCCUCUCCAAAAUUCCUGUUGAAACUUAAUUCCCAAUGCAAUUGGGUUGCGAGGUGAGGUCUUUAGGAGAUGAGUAGGCCAUGGGGGCUUGGCCCUUAUGAAUGAAUUAAUGCCUUAUAAAAGGGCUUGAAGGGGCAACUUCAUCCUUUCUGUCCCAUCUGCUAUGUGAGGACACAAGCACUCCUCCCCUCUGGAGGAUGCAGCAACAAGACACCAACUUGGAAGCAGAGAGCAGCCCUCCCCAGACACACAUGGAAUCUACCAGUGCCCAGGUCCUGGGCUUUCCAGCCUCCGGAACUGUGAGAAAUAAAAGUUUAUGUUCUUUAUAAGUUUCUGAAUCUCAGGUAUUUUGUUAUUGCUGCAGGAAAUGACUAGGACACUCUUUCUCUACCCCUGGAUGACCCCUGAGUCAGGUAUUAGUUUCCUAGUUGCUGCUAUAACAAAGGUUGGAGAGGAGGUUGUUGCUUAAUCAUGAAGACCUCGGCCUGAUGCCAUACUAAGGAAUGUGGGUUUUAUUCUAAGAGCGAUGCCAGUACAAAGGAACAUCAGUACAGCCCACUUGCCCCCUUGGCAGCCUAGCAGAGACUGCUGCAAGGGGAGGAGCUCAGGGAGGGAGGCAUCGAUGUUCUGCACAGGCUACCACGCUACUCAGUCCGGGCUCAAGAAGCCCCAGAAUCAGGGCUGUGGCUAAGGAAUAGGGAGACGGGCCAGGAGGAGGCGCUGUUGAGGAGAGGGUGAUGAGGGUGGGCAGGGGAGCUGAAUGGCCUGGGGAACUGUAAUAGCUGAAUCCUGGCAGUGUUCACUGCAAAAGGGAAGGCAGGAAGGGGAGUUAGAGAAGGACGUGUGGUGUUUGGAACCUGCUGCAUUUGAGGAACUGGUGAAACCUCUCCAUAGAGAUAUCCUGCAGGGACCUGGAUCCAUGAGAGGGACUUAGGGGACUUACUCAGACUCCUCGCUGAUGUGGACAGAGUCACCUGUGCAAAGUGUGGAGCAAAGACAGGGCUGAGAGAGACCUGGCUGUGUCGCCACCUUCCCAUGGCUGAGGCCCUGAUAGGGAUCCAGGGGUCACACCAGAUGGACCACCCCUGGCUGCCCAGUCCCACUGACCCAGGGCUGAGCUGAGAGAUGGACAUGUUUGUUCAUGGGGCAGCAUUUGGGGAGUCCACCCUGGAGAUCUGAGCUGCUUUGCCAGUCUGAGUGGCUCCUAAUCCAAGUUUUCUAUUUUUCUGAUUUUACUGAUCUUCACGUGUCAUCACUGUGAUUAUGAGAUGUCAGCAUGUGUUGGUGGAAAGACUCCUGGGUUUUGAAUGCAGAUCCGUCACAUGGGUCUGAUCAGCUGUGAAUGGUGCAGGCAGCUUAAUUUCACCCUGUCUCCCCAUGCCUCAGUUUCCUUCCUUUCUUCCCAGCCACAGUAACCAUCGAAUCAGAUUGCAGAGGGAUUUGGCCACACCGGAAAAUGCUUUGACCUCUCUGAAGGAGAAGUGCCUCACAACUGUACAUUUCAUUAUAUUAUUAGUGUUAUUAAUAAACUCUUCCCUGCUGG